AGUGAACGCUGGCGGUAGGCCUAACACAUGCAAGUCGAACGGCAGCACAGUAAGAGCUUGCUCUUACGGGUGGCGAGUGGCGGACGGGUGAGGAAUACAUCGGUAUCUACUUUUUCGUGGGGGAUAACGUAGGGAAACUUACGCUAAUACCGCAUACGACCUACGGGUGAAAGCAGGGGAUCUUCGGACCUUGCGCGAUUGAAUGAGCCGAUGUCGGAUUAGCUAGUUGGCGGGGUAAAGGCCCACCAAGGCGACGAUCCGUAGCUGGUCUGAGAGGAUGAUCAGCCCACCUGGAACUGAGACACGGUCCAGACUCCUACGGGAGGCAGCAGUGGGGAAUAUUGGACAAUGGGCGCAAGCCUGAUCCAGCCAUACCGCGUGGGUGAAGAAGGCCUUCGGGUUGUAAAGCCCUUUUGUUGGGAAAGAAAAGCAGCAGGUUAAUACCCCGCUGUUCUGACGGUACCCAAAGAAUAAGCACCGGCUAACUUCGUG
rnacentral:rRNA from 1 species